ACGUGUAUGCUCGUAGCUAUAACCUGACAUCCAAUGUUAUUGCUUGAGAAUACACGUAG
rnacentral:pre_miRNA from 1 species